rnacentral:rRNA from 1 species
GUGAGGAAUAUUGGACAAUGGGCGCAAGCCUGAUCCAGCCAUGCCGCGUGCAGGAAGACGCAUCUAUGGUGUGUAAACUGCUUUUGUACGGGAAGAAACACUCCCUCGUGAGGGAGCUUGACGGUACCGUAAGAAUAAGGAUCGGCUAACUCCGUGCCAGCAGCCGCGGUAAUACGGAGGAUCCAAGCGUUAUCCGGAAUCAUUGGGUUUAAAGGGUCCGUAGGCGGUUUAAUAAGUCAGUGGUGAAAGCCCAUCGCUCAACGAUGGAACGGCCAUUGAUACUGUUAGACUUGAAUUACAAGGAAGUAACUAGAAUAUGUAGUGUAGCGGUGAAAUGCUUAGAUAUUACAUGGAAUACCAAUUGCGAAGGCAGGUUACUACUUGUGGAUUGACGCUGAUGGACGAAAGCGUGGGGAGCGAACAGGAUUAGAUACCCGGGUAGUC